GUAGGAAUUUUGCGCAAUGGGCGAAAGCCUGACGCAGCAACGCCGCGUGGGGGAUGAAGGUCCUCGGAUUGUAAACCCCUUUCGAUGGGAACGAAAUUGACGGUACCCAGAGAAGAAGCCCCGGCCAACUACGUGCCAGCAGCCGCGGUAAUACGUAGGGGGCGAGCGUUGUCCGGAUUUAUUGGGCGUAAAGAGCUCGUAGGCGGUUGAGGAAGUCGGGCGUGAAAUACCGGGGCUUAACUCCGGGACGCCGUCCGAUACUCCUCUGACUAGAGUCCGGUAGGGGAAGGUGGAAUACCUGGUGUAGCGGUGAAAUGCACAGAUAUCAGGUGGAACACCGGUGGCGAAGGCGGCCUUCUGGGCCGGUACUGACGCUGAGGAGCGAAAGCUAGGGGAGCGAACAGG
rnacentral:rRNA from 1 species